rnacentral:lncRNA from 1 species
GAGGCCGGGUGGCCUGUCCUCCGGUGGGGACUCCUGGAAGUUCCUUCCUUCCAUCGACUUCCGCUGGCAGCUCCGGUUCUGGGCCGCGUGGGAGGUGCUGGGGAGAGCUGCGGCCAAGGACAGCCUCUGAUCCCUGUGGGGGGUCAGACUGAGUGGCGGUGGUCCCGCAAAGGGCGGUUGCGAUCCCCAGGGAGUGUCGUGGUGGGGGCAGAGCCACACAGACUUGAAGUGGGGGCCGGCAUCUUCUUAGGCCUAAGAACCUGGUUUCCUGAAAGGGGCUCAUCUCCUGGGAAAGGAGGUCGGACUGCAAGGCACACGUGGAGCUCCAGGACUUGGGUCUUGAACAAAACAGGGACAAUUCUAUUCACUUGGAGAAGACGGUCCUGUGGAACAUGUAUUAUCAAGUGCUCCCCUGGGACACCCCAAGAGUCUCACGCUUGCAAUCUAUGGCUGUGAAUUCCCAAGAUCCUCCCCCCACCGGGACCUGUGUCUGAUGGAGCGAGCCCAGUCGUGUUUCUGGAGAGCAGGUAAUCAGGCUUUGCAAUAGGAAAACCAGAAAGGGCACAGCCCAAAAAGCCGUCAGAGAGAAUGCUGUCUUGCUAUUUACAGAGGGUUUAAUUUGAGUGGGCAGAGGUGACAGCAGAUGGGGCCGAGGCAGUGGGAGAGGGCUUUCUAACAAGACAACCUGCUGUAUGCCAGCGACUCAUAGCUCCCGGGGAGGGGGUGUGGGCGGAUCAUCUCCAUCCACAGAGCUGAAGUUCAAAGGGGAACGCUGUCAGUGUAUGGCUAAGCACCUGGGUGGAGAACCUAGGCACUCUGACUCCUGUUUGAUGCUGUUUCCGGAACACCAAUUCUGAUGCCUUUUCUUUGAUAGAGGAGGAUGCCAGGGUCUAGGAUGAUAAAGAGGCUUACAGCUCAUCUAGCUGCUCAGUGACACCCUGGGGACCAGAUCUGACCGCUUCACCAGGGUCUCCUGCAUGUAACGGUAAAUGACGAGUGAUGUCGUCCGUCUCUUAUUUCAGAAACUGGCUGU